AGAGUUUGAUCCUGGCUCAGAAUGAACGCUGGCGGCGUGCUUAACACAUGCAAGUCGUACGAGAACUCUUUAGCUUGCUAAAGAUAGUAAAGUGGCGCACGGGUGAGUAACGCGUGGGUAAUCUACCUCUAAAUCUGGGAUAACAUUGCGAAAGCGAUGCUAAUACCGGAUAAUAUCUCAAAACCAUAAGGUUUUAAGAUCAAAAAUGGCCUCUACAUGUAAGCUGUUGUUUGGAGAUGAGCCCGCGUACCAUUAGCUUGUUGGUAGGGUAAUGGCCUACCAAGGCAACGAUGGUUAGCUGGUCUGAGAGGAUGAUCAGCCACACUGGAACUGACACACGGUCCAGACUCCUACGGGAGGCAGCAGUGAGGAAUUUUGCGCAAUGGGGGAAACCCUGACGCAGCAACGCCGCGUGAGUGAUGAAGGCUUUCGGGUCGUAAAGCUCUGUCAAGUGGGAAGAAAUCAUAUAGUGAUAAUCCCGCCAUAUGCUGACGGUACCACUGAAGGAAGCACCGGCUAACUCCGUGCCAGCAGCCGCGGUAAUACGGGGGGUGCGAGCGUUGUUCGGAUUUACUGGGCUUAAAGGGCGUGUAGGCGUCCUGAUAAGUCAGAUGUGGAAGCCUUGGGCUUAACCCAAGAAGUGCAUUUGAAACUGUCAGGAUUGAGUCGUGCAAGGGAGGGCGGAAUUCCUGGUGUAGCGGUGAAAUGCGUAGAUAUCAGGAGGAAGGCCGGUGGUGAAGACGGCCCUCUAGGCAAUGACUGACGCUGAGGCGCGAAAGCGUGGGUAGCAAACAGGAUUAGAUACCCUGGUAGUCCACGCCCUAAACGGUGCGUACUAGGUGUGGGUGGCGAUAGUCAUCCGUGCCGUAGGGAAACCAUUAAGUACGCCGCCUGGGGAGUACGGCCGCAAGGUUAAAACUCAAAGAAAUUGACGGGGGCCCGCACAAGCGGUGGAGCAUGUGGUUUAAUUCGACGCUACGCGCAAAACCUUACCUGGGCUUGACAUGUUAGUAGUAGUGAACCGAAAGGGGAACGAUUCCUAGCAAUAGGAAAGCUAUCACAGGUGCUGCAUGGCUGUCGUCAGCUCGUGCCGUGAGGUGUUGGGUUAAGUCCCGCAACGAGCGCAACCCUCAUCCUCUGUUGCCCUUAACGGGGAUCUCUGAGGAAACUGCCGGCGAAGAGCUGGAGGAAGGUGGGGAUGACGUCAAGUCCGCAUGGCCCUUAUGCCCAGGGCUACACACGUGCUACAAUGGUAGAUACAGAGGGUGGCCAAGCCGCGAGGUGGAGCCAAUCCCACAAAGUCUAUCCAAGUUGGGAUCGGAGUCUGCAACUCGACUCCGUGAACCUGGAAUCGCUAGUAAUCGUGGAUCAGCACGCCACGGUGAAUACGUUCCCGGGCCUUGUACACACCGCCCGUCACACCACGAAAGUCUGCUGUACCCGAAGUAGGCGAGCUAACCCGCAAGGGAGGCAGUCUCCUAAGGUAUGGCCGGUAAUUGGGGUGAAGUCGUAACAAGGUAACC
rnacentral:rRNA from 1 species